CAGUCGCCGCGGGAACACGGAGGGUGCGAGCGUUAUCCGGAUUCACUGGGUUUAAAGGGAGCGUAGGCGGGCAUGUAAGUCAGUGGUGAAAUCCCGGGGUUCAACCCCUGGACUGCCAUUGAUACUAUGUGCCUUGGAUGUUGUCGAGGUUUGCGGAAUAUGUCAUGUAGCGGUGAAAUGCUUAGAUAUGACAUAGAACACCGAUUGCGAAGGCAGCCCCCUGGGCCAAUACUGACGCUCAUGCACGAAAGCGUGGGGAGCAAACAGGAUUAGAUACCCCCGUAGUCCCUGUCUCUUAUAU
rnacentral:rRNA from 1 species